UCCCUGGUGGUCCAGUGGUUAAGACUCUGCACUUCGGCUGCAGAAGGCAUGGGUUCAAUCCCCGGUCAGGGAA